AUUCCAUGGUGGGGACAUUGUCUAAGCAGCUCCUUAAAUCUUUCCCAGGCAUCAAAUAGGGAAUCAUCGACUCGUUGUCUAAAUGAGGUUAUCUCAUUUCUCCUUUU